rnacentral:rRNA from 1 species
UACGUAGGGUGCGAGCGUUAAUCGGAAUUACUGGGCGUAAAGCGUGCGCAGGCGGUUCGUUAAGUCAGAUGUGAAAGCCCCGGGCUCAACCUGGGAACUGCAUUUGAAACUGGCGGGCUUGAGUGUGGCAGAGGGGGGUGGAAUUCCGCGUGUAGCAGUGAAAUGCGUAGAGAUGCUGAGGAACACCGAUGGCGAAGGCAGCCCCCUGGGCCAACACUGACGCUCAGGCACGAAAGCGUGGGGAGCAAACAGG